AGUUAACAUUGCAUACAGUCUGCAGUUAAAGUUUUUUAAAUAUUUAUUAGAUUCAUAAACUAUCCUGGAUUUUUACUAAACUUGGACAGAAGCUUCUUCACAAUCAAAAGAUAGUAUCAAGAGGAAUAUUUUUAAUGAUUUUUUUCCUCAUUUUUGUAGAGCCUGCGAUUUACAGCAAAAGUAGGCGAGACACUGGGUUCCGGAACCCUUAACACAUUUUUUUUUUUAACUGGUCAAAAUUUUCGUUUAUUUUCUUUGGAAUUUUAAAAUUAAGAUCGUUUAUUUGACGGAGUUUUAUAUGUACAUGUAUAAACUCGACCUUCCACUCACAAACUUAUUAAUAACACAAAGUCGUUCGGACUUCGCUGAUUCAGUUUGGGAGUUUGUAAUUAAAAUACACUUCUUCAAAAUACCCUUUAUCACUAUUGCUAUUAAAAUAGAUAAGUUUAAACGCAAAUUUAGUAACUAAAUCAACUAAAAGUAUGCACCUCGUCUUAAAU
rnacentral:lncRNA from 1 species